rnacentral:rRNA from 1 species
ACGGUAGCAGGUCUUCGGAUGCUGACGAGUGGCGGACGGGUGAGUAACGCGUAGGAAUCUGCCUAUUAGUGGGGGACAACGUGUGGAAACGCACGCUAAUACCGCAUACGCCCUACGGGGGAAAGGAGGGGAUCUUCGGACCUUUCGCUAAUAGAUGAGCCUGCGUAGGAUUAGCUAGUUGGUAGGGUAAAGGCCUACCAAGGCGACGAUCCUUAGCUGUUCUGAGAGGAAGAUCAGCCACACUGGGACUGAGACACGGCCCAGACUCCUACGGGAGGCAGCAGUGGGGAAUAUUGGACAAUGGGCGAAAGCCUGAUCCAGCAAUACCGCGUGUGUGAAGAAGGCCUUAGGGUUGUAAAGCACUUUCAAUUGGGAGGAAAAAACAAGGGUCAAUACCCCUUGUCUUGACAUUACCUUUAGAAGAAGCACCGGCUAACUCCGUGCCAGCAGCCGCGGUAAUACGGAGGGUGCGAGCGUUAAUCGGAAUUACUGGGCGUAAAGAGUGCGUAGGCGGCUCGUUAAGUCAGAUGUGAAAGCCCUGGGCUCAACCUGGGAACUGCAUUUGAAACUGGCGAGCUAGAGUUGAGUAGAGGUAAGUGGAAUUUCAGGUGUAGCGGUGAAAUGCGUAGAUAUCUGAAGGAACACCAGUGGCGAAGGCGACUUACUGGACUCAAACUGACGCUGAGGUACGAAAGCGUGGGUAGCAAACAGGAUUAGAUACCCUGGUAGUCCACGCCGUAAACGAUGUCAACUAGCCGUUGGUCCUAUAUACAGGAUUAGUGGCGCAGCUAACGCAUUAAGUUGACCGCCUGGGGA